rnacentral:rRNA from 1 species
UACAGAGGUGGCAAGCGUUGUUCGGAAUUACUGGGCGUAAAGGGCGCGUAGGCGGCCGAUCAAGUCAGGCGUGAAAUUCCCGGGCUCAACCUGGGGGCUGCGCUUGAUACUGAUUGGCUUGAAUGCGGGAGAGGAUAGUGGAAUUCCCAGUGUAGAGGUGAAAUUCGUAGAUAUUGGGAAGAACACCGGUGGCGAAGGCGGCUAUCUGGCCCGUAAUUGACGCUGAGGCGCGAAAGCGUGGGGAGCAAACAGG